CGGGUGGUGGCGCAGUUUGGCAGCGCGCCUCGUUCGGGACGAGGAGGUCGGGAGUUCAAUCUCCCCCACCCGACCA
rnacentral:tRNA from 1 species